rnacentral:rRNA from 1 species
AGCGAACGCUGGCGGCAGGCCUAACACAUGCAAGUCGAACGAACCCUUCGGGGUUAGUGGCGGACGGGUGAGUAACACGUGGGAACGUGCCUUUAGGUUCGGAAUAACUCAGGGAAACUUGUGCUAAUACCGAAUGUGCCCUUCGGGGGAAAGAUUUAUCGCCUUUAGAGCGGCCCGCGUCUGAUUAGCUAAUUGGUGAGGUAAUGGCUCACCAAGGCUACGAUCAGUGGCUGGUCUGAGAGGAUGACCAGCCACAUUGGGACUGAGACACGGCCCAAACUCCUACGGGAGGCAGCAGUGGGGAAUCUUGCGCAAUGGGCGAAAGCCUGACGCAGCCAUGCCGCGUGGAUGAUGAAGGUCUUAGGAUUGUAAAAUCCUUUCACCGGAGAAGAUAAUGACUGUAGCCGGAGAAGAAGCCCCGGCUAACUUCGUGCCAGCAGCCGCCGUAAUAC